AACGCGAAGAACCUUACCAGGGCUUGACAUGCACGGUGCAGCGCCGGAGACGGCGUGUCCUUUGGGGUCGUGCACAGGUGGUGCAUGGUUGUCGUCAGCUCGUGUCGUGAGAUGUUGGGUUAAGUCCCGCAACGAGCGCAACCCUUAUCGUUAGUUGCCAGCGAGUCAAGUCGGGCACUCUAGCGAAACCGCCCCGGAUAACGGGGAGGAAGGUGGGGAUGACGUCAAGUCCUCAUGGCCUUUAUGUCCAGGGCUACACACGUGCUACAAUGGUCGGUACAAACCGUCGCAAACCCGCGAGGGGGAGCUAAUACGGAAAAAGCCGACCUCAGUUCGGAUUGGAGUCUGCAACUCGACUCCAUGAAGCUGGAAUCGCUAGUAAUCGCAGAUCAGCACGCUGCGGUGAAUACGUUCCCGGGCCUUGUACACACCGAGUAUA
rnacentral:rRNA from 1 species